UGCAUGCAUGACUGUAACCUGCUUUGGAUAAAAGCGUCUGCUAAAUGGUGUACA
rfam:Salmo salar isolate Sally breed double haploid chromosome ssa16, whole genome shotgun sequence.